GUUUUUCUGUGUUCCUGCUGUUUGUGGCCAGAAGCCAGAUGCUGGCCCAGUACCUGCUCAGUUGUUUGCAUCCAAGUCUCAGCAGACAUUAGAAGAUGGUGUCAGAUCCAAGGGAACUGAAGUUAUGGGUGGUUUUGAGCUGAAUUCAUGCUGGGAACUGGAUCCAUGACCUCUACAAGAUCAAAAGGAGCUCUUAACCUCAGGGCUAUCUCUCCAGACCUCAUUUGCUUCUUUUAAGAGACAUUUUGUAGUGGAAUCACAAAAUAUUCCACAUGACUGACUAGUGCUGUACUCAGAUUAAAAACACACUUGUUCCUUUCCUUCCUCUCCAACCUCUGUCUUUCACAUCUUUUCAGCCUCCAGUAGUGAAGUUAGUUCCUAGCACAAUGCUGAAAAGAAGCAGUGAGAGGAAGAAUUGCUAGCUUGCCAUUUUUAGGGGGAACAGGAUGAGCAUUUAGUUUUACCACCGCGAAUCACAGCAGCUCCCAGCCUUUAUAAGUGUCCUUGAUGGGGACUAGGAAGGGCUGUGAUGUUUCUUAUUUUGCUAAGAAAUCUUCAUAAAAGAAGAAUUUUAAAAGCUAGGUAAAUUUGAUUAAAACAAAAAAACUGGAGCAGGAGGAAUAAGCUACUUUAUAAAGCUCGUCAAUGAAGUCAGUAACCUUGCUUUAGAGUCUCAAGUGUAGCAAAAAGAAAGGCAUGGGGACAUACUAGCAUGUGAGCAAUAUGCUAAAUGUAGGGGCAAGGCAGUGCCAAGUACAAAAGACUCAGGGAAACGCUUUUUCCAGUGUGUCCAUUUCAGAUGAAAUAUCCGAAGGGACACAGAAGCUGAGACAGCAGCAGCUAAGUGAAACACAAGCUGCUUUUUUCCUUGAACCACUGUUUAUCUGGACCACCCAUUGCAGAGUACCACCCACACUGAGGGUGCGACGUCUUCACUCAGUUAAUCCCUUCUGGAAAUGUUCUUACAAACAAACUGAGAAGUGUGUCUCCUAGAUGAUCCUAAAUCCUAACAAAUCAAGGUCAACCAUCACAGACCCCACUCCUUUUCGUCCACUAUGCGUCCUCAAAGGUAACACAAGCCUUGUAGGCAGCACUGUGUAGCUCUUAUCUCUUUUUUGUAUCUUUCUGCCACUAAAUGAUACUUUGGAGAAUUUUAUUUAUAGCCAGGGUAACUAUGCAUAUUAACUGCCGUCUUUUGUGAAUGGGUCAGAAUAUUUUUUUUAUUAUCUAGAGUUCUUAUUAUAACAUAGAACCGCCAAUGAGAUUUUUGAGUCACCCACAGGGUAGAUACAGCUCACCAGUUCUAUGACAGCAAGGAAGCAUAGUCAGCUCUCGCACCAUCAGCAUCUUUUCCUAGGACAAAUUUUAUAGCUGGAUCUCUCCAGCUUGGAAUAGGGGACAGGAAAGGUGCCCUAUAGAAAUGGUGGCUGUAUUUAACUAAUCUAACGUUCAUUUAUGAGCUUGAGAGAAUUCAGGUCAUGAGUCCUGUUCUGGAAAUUAUUUUUUAAAUUAAAAGUAAUGAUAAGAAAAAGAAGUGUUAUGGGAGCAGAGGUGGAAGCUUACAGAGUACAAGGUAGAGUAGGGAAAAGUGCAGAAGUGGUGAGUUUUACUGCAUUAGCUAGAACAACUCCAGUGACUAACUCAUCACACGUGUGCUACAUCAUGAGGGAUUGGGAUUGCAGAGAGUAAAAGAGGGGUGAACGAUGGAGAGCAUUUUCAGAUAAAUAGCACCACAAAGGAUUGUCACACGAAGGAUUGGUAGGGGUAGAAUGGUGUGUGUGUGUGUGUGUGUGUGUGUGUGUGUGUGUGUGUGUGUGUGUGUGUGUUCAUGGAGAAAAGGCCAGUGGAUGAUCUCAGGUCAUCGCACAGGUAUUUCCUGGAAAGACUAUUAUUAUUGGUAAAGGUAAACAAUAAGAUUAUCAGAAAAGUUGAGCCAUGCUCUGAAGAACAAUCACCAUCCCCCCCCUCACACACUGAUGACAGGAAUGAGCUGCCUGCUAACAGUGCAUAUAAAACCCACAGAAAAGGCUCUGGGAAGUGGUGAUGCCAUGAGCCAUAGGCUUGUUGAGUCAAGAAUGGUUACCAGGCACAAAGGCAGAAAAGCCAUAGAGUACUUUGGGGUUCACGGGCCUGUGACAGAGAGGAGGGCUCCCUGAGAUAACAUAUUUGAGAUACAUCAUGGUAAUGAUAGAAUCAACCAGGAAGACUGAUGGAUCACAGAAAGUAAGGCUUAUAAAAGACCCGAGUUUAUGAAGAGAGAUGUGGGCAAGAAUAGACCAUACAGAAGUAUCAGAGUUUAUGAAGAGAGAUGUGAGCAACCAGAGAGCACACAGAAGUACCAGAGUGUGGGUUCCCAAACCAGAUGAGCACUGCCCAUACCCUGGAGAGCUCUCAGAAAACAUGGUGGGAGUAGGGCUGAUCUCUACCCAAAUCAGGCUUGUGCCUGCUCAACUCCAUAAAGACAAAGACCAAGUAAUGAUAAAGCCAGUUCAAUCUUUGUUUCCCCUGCCAGAGAACUGGCUUCUCAGAAAUCAUGUAACCAGCAGUCUGCUAAUAUAGCUGUUAUGCUUGGAAGGUCCCUGCCCCUGCUGAAAUACUUCCUCCCUUUUCCUUUCUCCUCUCUCUCCUGAGUCUAGCUCUAUCAUAUAGCCUCUCUAUUUCAAUAAAGGAGCUGUUCUCUGACAGUCUCCUUGUUAUCUAUACCCACCAUACUCUCCGCUGCCUUAGACCCUGAUCCAAUAUGUGACAGUCAUUUGGGGGUGGGGGGCACACAUCGGAGAAAGGAUAGUGAGUGAGAUCCCAGGAGACAAGGUUAUACAGAGUCUACAAGAGACAUCUCAGCAUGUCUUUCCAAGAGGUGCCGGUGGUUAUGAGAAUGUUUGCUCUGAGGGUGAAGGGUACAAAUUCAUCUUCACAACAUCACCAGAGUACAACUUGGGAGGAGCAGAUCACAGAGUAGACAGGCUCUGAAUAAAUAAUGCUCUACUACACGAUGGCGAGAACCUAAAUCUAAACAAUGAAAGUUUCAAAGGUAGAAACUGAAAAAAAUAAAUAAAUGAAGGAAAUUGGGUUUAGAAAAUAAAUAGAAGGGGUGGGUGAUGGAUAGACAAGCUGCCAAGAGAGAAACACGCUCACUCCACCCCCUUAUGUCAACAGACUAAGUUUUAAGGUGGUAAAGUAUGAAAAACGGACAUUGAAGUUUUGGACUAUGACCUUGUCUCCGAGGCUUGUAGACACAGGAAUAGAUCCAGAGCUGUUCAGUGCUAAUGUCGAGUGCCAACCAGACAAUAGUGACUGGGCUCAUGUUGCAACGGUUCUCAGAACAGCUGAGUUGGUGAAUGCUCCUGCUUGGCUGUAUCCUGUCUUUCUACGCCAUAGCAUUCCCAGACAAUGCAGCAAACAUCAUUCUGGAGUCCAGCACUGGGCUCCACAGAACCAUGUACUUUUUUCCUGUGCAACCUGGCCACCAUGGAUAUUGUCUGUACCUCAUCGGUGCUUCCCAAGGCCCUAGUUAGCCUAGUGUCUGAGGAAAACACCAUCUCCUUCAAGGAGUGCAUGGCCCAGCUCUUCUUCCUUGUCCAGUCUGCAUCCUCUGAGCUGCUGCUGCUCAUGGUCAAUGCUAUGACUACGAUGUGGCCAUCUGCUGUCCCUGCACUGUAAUUUUAGGAUAAGCCCACAGCUGUGGGAACUAAGCCAUGGGUAUGUGGUCCAUAUGAGCACUAAAUGCAUCUGUGCACACUGGUCUGAUAAUGUGGCUGCAAACAGCGUCAUGAUUCUCAUGGCCAAAGACUUCUAUGGAGGUAUCAACUUCUUGCUGACCCUACAGUCCUGUGGCUGCAACUCAACCUCACACUACCCAGUAGCCUGUGCAGUGCUUAUCCAUGCUCUGUGCUUGUGUCAGCACCCCUUUAAACGACAUCCUGGAAAGUAGCAGUGUCUUCAGUGCUGUACACAGUCCUGAGCCCUACCUUGAACCUGCCCAUCUAUACACUGGGAAAUAAGACCCUACAAGCCAUGGGAGACGUGUGCAACUUUUUAA
rnacentral:lncRNA from 1 species